AGAUUCUUGCUAUUAACCGAGGAGAGAAUCUGAAAAUCUUGAAAGUAAAGGUCAACGUUCCUGAUGGAGUAAAGAAUGAAUUUUCUAGGUGGUGUGUAAAUGAAAGAUGGAGACCAAAGGCCUUUGCCAACCCUGAAUUAAUGGAACUACUGCGCUAUUCAAUAGAAGAUUCGUAUAAACGUCUUAUUUAUCCCCUGCUUUGCAGAGAAUUCAGGUCAAAACUAACUUCAGAUGCUGAAAAGGAAUCAGUAAUGAUGUUUGGAAGGAAUCUUCGUCAGUUGCUUUUAACAAGCCCUGUGAGAGGGCGAACAUUGAUGGGAGUUGAUCCUGGGUACAAACAUGGCUGCAAACUAGCAAUUAUUUCACCAACGAGUAAGUCUUCUGUGCCAUCUGAGA